rnacentral:rRNA from 2 species
UACCAGCACCCCGAGUGGUCGGGACGAUUAUUGGGCCUAAAGCAUCCGUAGCCGGUCAUGCAAGUCCUCCGUUAAAUCCACCUGCUUAACAGAUGGGCUGCGGAGGAUACUACAAGGCUAGGAGGCGGAAGAGGCAAGCGGUACUCAGUGGGUAGGGGUAAAAUCCUCUGAUCCAUUGAAGACCACCAGUGGCGAAGGCGGCUUGCCAAUACGCGCUCGACGGUGAGGGAUGAAAGCUGGGGGAGCAAAC